rnacentral:rRNA from 1 species
UACGAAGGGGGCUAGCGUUGCUCGGAAUCACUGGGCGUAAAGCGUGCGCAGGCGGCUUCUCAAGUCAGGGGUGAAAGCCCAGAGCUCAACUCUGGAAUUGCCUUUGAGACUGAGUGGCUUGAGUACGAGAGAGGUGAGUGGAAUUCCCAGUGUAGAGGUGAAAUUCGUAGAUAUUGGGAAGAACACCGGUGGCGAAGGCGGCUCACUGGCUCGUAACUGACGCUCAUGCACGCAGCGUGGGGAUCAAACAGG